rnacentral:rRNA from 1 species
ACCAAGGCGACGAUCCGUAGCUGGUCUGAGAGGAUGAUCAGCCACAUCGGGACUGAGACACGGCCCGAACUCCUACGGGAGGCAGCAGUGGGGAAUAUUGGACAAUGGGGGCAACCCUGAUCCAGCCAUGCCGCGUGUGUGAAGAAGGCUUUCGGGUUGUAAAGCACUUUCAGUGAGGAGGAAGGCCUUAAGGUUAAUACCCUUGAGGAUUGACGUUACUCACAGAAGAAGCACCGGCUAACUCCGUGCCAGCAGCCGCGGUAAUACGGAGGGUGCAAGCGUUAAUCGGAAUUACUGGGCGUAAAGCGCGCGUAGGUGGUUUGAUAAGCGAGAUGUGAAAGCCCCGGGCUUAACCUGGGAACGGCAUUUCGAACUGUCAGGCUAGAGUGUGGUAGAGGGUAGUGGAAUUUCCUGUGUAGCGGUGAAAUGCGUAGAUAUAGGAAGGAACACCAGUGGCGAAGGCGG